UAGCGAAAAAGCUAUAAGAACAUAAUAUAUUUUGUAUAUGAUUACUAAUAAGCAAGAGAAUAGAAAUUUAUUAGUUCUGAUCAAGUCAUAAUUAGUUCUGAACACAAUGUUUCUUGUGGAGAUGUUCAUUUAGUUGUACAAACACAAAAUACAAAUUUCACUCAUAUUCAGUAAAAAAAAAGUUAUACCAGUAAAGAAAAAAGUUUCACUUAGUUGUACAAACACAAAAUACAAAUUUCACUUUUCAACGUUCCCAUACAGUAAAAACAUUAGAACUAAAAGUGAAAGGUUUACAACCUACUACUCUUGUGUUUCUUCUAGGGAUGUUCAUUGUGCUUCUUCUAUUCCAAAUCAGUGCCCACAUUCUCUUCUUCUCCAUAUCAACUCUCACGCUAACCAUAGUUCCUACUACAUGAGCUUU
rnacentral:lncRNA from 1 species